GUAUAAUUUUCAAGGUAACAACCAAGGCACUUCAACCUGGAAGUAGACAUGAACUCGCAAUUAACGGAAUUGAUAACCGUUUUCUGAUUAAAAAAUAAAAAUGUUGACUUCUAGGUAUAGUGUAUCGAUAUAUGCUCUGCUUUAUAUGUGUAUAACAGAAUGCAAGGGUCAGAUUCGUUGCUAUGUUUGUUCCACACUACCUGGCUCUCAAUACGGGGACAUGUGCGGAGACAACUUCAGGCUGCAGUCAAUACAUGCAUCAAAAUGUGAUGGCUCAUGCCAGAAAACCAGAGGCUACAGGAACGAAGGGGGUCGCCGUGUUGUUGAGGUAACAAGGAGCUGCGUCCCAUACACGGGCGAGGGCUGUAGCGUCGGGCAACACCAAGGCAUUACUGCAGACAUUUGUACUUGUAGAGAAGAAUUGUGCAACCAUGGGAUGACAUUUAAGUGUUCAGUUGUAUUUGCGGUGGUUGUUGGAUUGCUUGGGAAAAUUUUGUGUACUGUAUGGUUGUGAUGAACCUUCAAACUCCACAUUCAUACUCAGGACAAGACACACUGUGAGAAAGACACGUUACAAUACAUAUCAUUAAACAGGGCUUUCUCUAACUUGUGAUGAAGUGAAUUAUAAAAUGGCUGGGAAUGAGCUGGCUCAUAGGUUUCCAUGUUGUUAUGCAAACCUUAUUUUUGACACAAGAUUGAUUUGUGAGGCCAGUUUUACCGUCUUUAACCUGAUGUAUGAUUUACCAAAUAUAUUUUUUGUGAUAUGAUAAAGACUUAUUACUAUUUUAAUGCUGUGACGUUCAAUAUUAUAUUCUAUUAAUUUGAUUUAAACUCAAUGUAAAAGAAUUAUUAAACUGCAGGAAAAGUGAUUUUGUACAAUGCAUGAAUAAUAUUCAUUUGUUGAAGAAUGAUAUUUGCCUAUUGGGUUUAGAGAAAAUGCUAUCCAACAAUGUUUUACUCUGAAACGCAGUAACUACGUAUAAUUAUGUCACAGGUAAACCUGUACAUAAACAUGUUUUACUUCCAUAGAUGUGCAGAGUUAAACCCUCUUUAAUUAUGAAUUGUGUAAUAGUAAACAUGGAUGUGUUUUAAACUACUGCUGUGAUGCCCAAUAGACAGAUUACUCAUCCCCAUGAAGCAACCAGAAACAAAGCUACCAGUAAUACAAUCCAUGCAUUUAAGAUGCACUUGUUUAUCUAAUAUUAAUGUCUGAAAGUUUUUUUUUAAUGGGAUGGUGGUAGUUUACUUAUUGCUUCUAUAUUUCAGUUGAUCAGCAUCAACAUGCCAUUGAUAUUAAUCUGGCAGAUCUGCAUAACACUGAAAUGUAUUUUUUAUGUCAUAAUGAAACAUGGACAUAUCAUGUCCCAAUUUCCUGAAAGUUCUCAAAAUUAACAAGCUUAAGUAGCUUGUUUCAUUCAGCUAAAUUUCUAAUUUAAUCAUAGUUUAUCCAAUAAUAAGUAGUUCAUAAUUGUGACUUUCAUCAAGAUAGUGUGGUUUUUAAGUUCAAACACUCUUAAGAAAGUAAAUACACAUGUACUACACAAAUUAUACCAAAACGAAAAUAAUGAGCUUAGCUUUAAAAUCAUGUUAUAAGUGUGUGACUUACGAUGCUUCAGUAAUUAAUCCCUAACAUUAUCUGCCAAGUAUGGUGUUUGUCUUAAUAUAUUAACCUUUUUAUACUUAAUUACAUUAAUGACGAUUUGAUAACCAAAUAACGAUAUGAACAAUGAUAUGUCUGUAAGAAUUGAUGCUAGAGAUACAUUUUUCUGCUUUCAUUUUUUUGUCAUACCCAAGUAUACAUUGUAAUUACUGUUGCUCUUUGAAUAGCAUUUGUAAGUAACCUGUUGAUAAUUUAAAAAUAAUUUUGUUGACAUGUUUCUAUUCUUUAAAGGAUUAACCUUAUAUACAUAAUAUGUUUUUUCAAUAUGUGAGAACAAAUAGUAGUAUUAAUUUAAACAAUGAUUAUGUAUUUUUAGCUUGACUGUUUGAAGAAUAAGGAGAGCUAUACUACUCCCCCAAGCGUCGGCGUUGGCGUCACACCUUGGUUAAGGUUUUGCAUGCAAGCACCUUUAAAUCAAUAUCUCAGUGAAUACAUCAUGUAUUGCAUUGAAACUUUAGAUAUGUAUUCCCAACUAUUUAACCUACUAAAUUAAUGAAGUUAGAUAACACUUAUUUGAAUUUAAUGCAAAAAAAUAGGCCUUUAUUAUUCGACUUAGAAAUUCUGGUUAAGGUUCAUAUCUCAGCAACUACUAGAGGUAUUGCAUUGAGACUUUAUACAAUGGUACUCAACCAUCCAAUCUACUUAAAUAACCAAGUAAGAUAACUCUAGUUUGCAUUAAUUCAAAUAAUGGCUCCUUUUUUAUUCAACAUAGAAAUUCUGGUUAAGGUUUUGCAUGUAACCACUUUUAAGUCAAUACCUCAGCGAAUACAUGAUGUAUUGCAUUGAAACUUUACACACAGGCUCCCAACCAUUUAACCUUCUUAUUUAAUCAAGUAAGAUAAUUCUAUCUUUCAUAUUAUAUAAUUUUUGGCCCUUUAUUAUGCAACUUAGAAAUUCUGGUUAAGGUCUUGCAUGUUAUAGCACACAUAUGAUAAUAUCUCAGCAACUACUUGAUGUAUUGCAUUGAGACUUUAUACAAUGGUAUUCAACCACCCAACCUAAUUGAAUAACCAAGUUAGGUAACUGUAUUUUGCAAAUAAUGGCCCUUUAUUAUUAGACUUAGAAAUUCUGGUUAAAAUUUUGCAUGUAACCACAUUUAUGUUAAUAUCUCAGCACAUCAUGUAUUGCAUUGAAAUCUAAUCUUACAGUGAUCCAUGCAUGUUUCGCCAAAUCUUUUCAAUCCUUACACUGAAAAGCGGCGGAAUAGUCGAGCGUGCUGUCUCUGUGACAGCUCUUGUUAUACAUAAAGUCAACAAUAUUUAAUCAAAAUCGUAUGCAUAAGCAUUGUUUAUUCUUAGAAUUGUUAAUAUUUUGUAAGCUUUUAAGAGUACAUGUAUAAUUUAGUUCCAAAUUUCUUAGUCUCAAAUGCUGGAACAGUUUUGUGUUCAAUUUCAAGCUAAAACCCUGGCCACUAUACACCGUACCGUACACUUUAUCGUCCAGAAAAGCAUUUAAAGCUGCACUCUCACAGAUAUACCAUUUUUACAACUUUUUUAUUUUUUGUCUAGGAAAGAGCAAAUUUUUGCUGAAUAUCUGCAAACCAAUGAUAAAAGAUUGCUGACAAAAGAUCAGAUUUUCAUAUUUCCGUCGAAAAUUAAUGUUUUAUGGCUUAAACCGUUACUAAAGGUCUGAUAAUCUGAGAUCUAUUUUUUGUCAGCAGUCUUAUAUAACUGGUUUCCAUGGAUUUUCGCCAAAAAUGGCUCGUUCCAAGACAAAAAUUUAAGAAUUUGUCAAAACGUUCAAUCUGUGAGAGUGCAGCUUUAAGGAUUUUCAUACUGCAAUAAAAUGUAUGAAAUGCUAGCCUGAUAUUUUCAUUCAAACAAGGGAUAUAUCUCAACAAUUAUUGAAUCAAGAGUUAUGGGGCCUUGAUGUACAUGUGUGUAUUGUCUUGGGUAAUAUGUACACACAUAUAUAUAUAUAUAUAUAUAUAUAUAUAUAUAUAUAUAUAUAUAUAUAUAUAUAUAUAUAUAUAUGUAUUUAUAUAUAUAUACCAAGUUUCAUGUCUAUAUAUUGAAUUGUUUUUGAGUUAUGGCCAACAUUAAGUUUUUGCAUUUAAACAAUGAAACCACGAAGACCACAAUACAGUACCGUUUUUUUCCGAUAUAGUUCCAAAAGUAAUGUUACUUCACACAUUUAAAAACCAUCAAGGGACCAAUGUAUGGUUUGGUGAACAGCCAGGGUUUUCACUGAAUAAUCAAUCAUACAGGGGUUCUAAUAGCUGAUAAUUGUCAAUCCUGAAAAAUAGCCUACGGUUUGUUCAAAUAUGAGUGACUCAUGCCCAUAGCAGGGUUAAUAAGGGUGGCUUUGACCCUGGUGGCUUUCAUUUCAAGGCACUUGCUAUUAUUUUCAAUGCGAAUGUCUGAGUAAACGGUUUAAAACUGUACAGUAGCUUAAUUUAAAAACUCCCAAUUAUUAUUUCAAGAUUAUCUCUGAACUUGAGAACCCCUGAUAUUAUCAUUGUGUGUAGAUGUUGUAAAUGUUUAAUGAUCGUCCAUUAUUUGUAUCAUGUAUAUGUAAAAGAGAUAAUCAGAAAUGCAUAAUUAAUUAUAGAAUAAUAAAAAGAAUAAAGAUC